rnacentral:misc_RNA from 1 species
GUUUACCAUUUCCUCAAAUUCCCAAUGUAACAGUCACUAAUAGAACAGUAAAAUUAGGGUACAAAAACUGAAAAUUCUGCUCCCUUAGUUCUAAGCUUAAAAAUGGUAUUGGUGAUUAAUUCCAACAAGUUUUGAAUGCAAAAUGUGAUACAUUGGGGGUGUUAAAACCAAUGUACCUAUUUUCUAUGCAAAAGUCAAUAUUUUUGUUGACUAAUGAAGUGAAUAGUAACAUCAGAACUUGAAAUUCAAAAAUUGAAGAAUUCUAAAGUAUCAAAUGCCCUAGUAUACCUAACAAGAUUGGUUUGGAUAGUUUGGCAUUCCAAUAGGGUUC